UACGGAGGAUCCAAGCGUUAUCCGGAAUCAUUGGGUUUAAAGGGUCCGUAGGUGGAUGAUUAAGUCAGGGGUGAAAGUCUGCAGCUCAACUGUAGAAUUGCCCUUGAUACUGGUUAUCUUGAAUCAUUGUGAAGUGGUUAGAAUAUGUAGUGUAGCGGUGAAAUGCAUAGAUAUUACAUAGAAUACCAAUUGCGAAGGCAGAUCACUAACAAUAUAUUGACACUGAUGGACGAAAGCGUGGGUAGCGAACAGG
rnacentral:rRNA from 1 species